GACGGUAGCUAUAGAAUCAGUCUCGGCUAACUACGUUGCCAGCAGCCGCGGUAAGACGUAGUAGGCGAGCGUUAUCGGAUUCACUGGGCGUAAAGCGCAUGUAGGCGGUUGAACAAGUCGUGUGUUAAAGCCCCUGGCUCAACUGGGGGAGGUCAUGCGAGACUGUGCGACUUGAGGGCAAGAGAGGCACGUGGAACUCCCGGUGUAGCGGUGGAAUGCGUAGAGAUCGGGAAGAACACCAGUGGCGAAGGCGACGUGCUGGGUUGCACCUGACGCUGAGAUGCGAAAGUGUGGGGAGCAAACGGGAUUAGAUACCCCGGUAGUCCACACUGUAAACGAUGAACCCUAGGUGUGGGCGGGAAUACCGUCCGUGCCGAAGCCAACGCGUUAAGGGUUCCGCCUGGGGACUAUGAGCGCAAGCUUAAAACUCAAAGGAAUUGACGGGGGCCCGCACAAGCAGCGGAGCGUGCGGUUCAAUUCGAUGCGACACGAAGAACCUUACCAGGGUUUGACAUGGUUGUGGUAGU
rnacentral:rRNA from 1 species